AACCAAGAGCUAGAUGCCUUCUAAAAUUGGAAGGAUACAUAAAAUUCACAUGGUGCCUGUACAAGAAUGAGAGACAAAUUCAUAAGGUGUUCCUUAUUUUC
rnacentral:snRNA from 1 species